UAAUUGAAUAGAUUAUGAGGUGCCUAUGAAAUAGGUUAAAAGGGAAAACGGUGUAAAUCCGUUACAGCCCCCGCUACUGUAAGUAGUUAUGAAAUCUUUAACAGCCACUGAGCAAUGUUUGGGAAGGCAAAGAGAGUAAGCUAUACUACAAGUCAGGAAACCUGCCUUAUAUGAUGUAAUAAA
rnacentral:ncRNA from 2 species